GAACACUUCAGCCCGCCUGCCACGUCAGUUUGCCUCCACCAUCCUCCCCACUCGCGUCGCCUCUCUCUCUCUUUCUCUCUCUCUCUCUGUCUUGGUGGCGGCCAGCGUUAGAAAGUGCAACGUGUUCAGCCGGGGUCUACUUCUUUUAGUUUACUGGAUGGGAACGAGGCCUCUGCGAAGAACAAAGUGUAACGAGCGACCGACGGCCACGCUGACCUCGGGGUCCUUCCCCCCCAUCGGAGGCCUCCGCACCCCCCCGCCUGCCCAGUGUUCAGACUACCUGUUCAUCCGGCUUCAGCUGAACAGUAGUCUGCACAUUGGUUAGGCUGGGCCGGGACACACGCACGCACGGUUAGCCGACCAGCGGGAUGAAGGCAAACGACGCUCACCUCCUCGUCUUUAUACCAGGACAGGGAUUCUGCGGUGAGGACGAACCAGAACUCCUUGGAGCCUCCCUUCAUUAUACUAAUGUGGAGGGUCAACCAGCCUUUCCUGAUCACCUGAUCAAAAGAUGGCAGGGUGGGAAGAAGUUGUUAGAAUCGCGUAAAACAGCUUUAUCAAUUGUCAAAAUGACCCGAUGACAUUGUGAAUAAAAACUUACCAACUUAC